UCUGUCCUCAGUUCUCAGCUCAAAAUCCUCCAGACUGAGAGAACUGAACCUUGGUUACAAUGACGUGCAGGAUUCAGGAGUAAAGCUGCUCUCUGCUGGACUGGAGAAUCCACACUGUACACUGGAGACACUGAGGAUGUAUAACUGCAGUAUUACAGAUUAAGGUUGUGCUUCUCUGGCUUCAGCUCUGAGGUCAAACUUGUCAUCACACCUGAGAGAACUGGAUCUGAACGGUAAUAAUCCAGGAGAAUCAGGAGUGAAGCUGCUCUCUGAUCUACUGAAGGAUCCACACUGUAAACUGGAGACAUUAUACAUUAAGGAUAAUAAACUCACCAGGACUGGCGUAUGACAGGAGUCUCACCUCAAACCUCUUCUCCAGGAUAAAGCAGUUUUGGUGAAGAGUUAGAACCCGUCCCACAUUUCCAGCAGUUUGGGAGCUGAAUCAUUAAACUUAAAGGGACAGAGCAGAUACAAAGUCAAGAACAGGCAGAAGGUCAUACACAGGAGAAAUCAACACACGUAAUGAAAUAUCUGCUGUAUUUUAACCUUACUGGUUCCAAAGCGCUUCACACUGUUUCACAUUCAUGAGGCUUCUGCCAAAGAGUAGAUGUGAAAAUACAGUGGAAAAUUUCCCUUGCAACCUGCCAACCUUUGCUGUGUCAUGAACACAGUGUCUUGGUCAACCAAGGAGAUGAUUUGGAAAAGUGCCUAUGCAACAGUGAGUGUUUAGCAUGCAUGGAGGCACUGGUUCUGUACAUAGUGUUACAUGAAAUAAGACCAAAAAUAACACAAAUCAAUACCCUUGUGUGCAUCUCUCUAAUGGCCUGAUUAGGUCCAUGUCAAUUCUUUCAACUGCGACCUUGAAUACAGAUAAUGGGCACAAUGGUGCUAUUGGGGUGGCCAGUGGAUUUGCAGCUGAAAUUAGUAGCCUGGUAACAAUUGCUUCCACAGCUCCUUUUUGAUGCACCAGUCGACUUAACACUACCCAUAUGAGUUGAUGUUUGGCCAAAAACCUAAGCUACCAGUGGAUAGUUUGCUUGAUGGUAGUGAAGAAGGGGAAGGAUAUGGUGGCCAUUCAGAUUGGGUGGCCCAACACCAAAAGUAUUUGUUCUCCAUUUAUACCAGUUGCUGAAGGCACUUGGAGACUGUGGUCAUUCACCGUAGGACCAAUUGCCCUGACUCAGUAGCAAUACUACCCCCUGACACUUUAGUGUAUUGUAAGAAUCAUUUUCUACAUUGAUGAAGUGGGAACGCUCUAUAAGAUCAGACCACAUGGAGAAGAUGGCCCCAUUAAAACUGUCCAUUGAUCAGAACUUUAGCCGGUUCUUACCUGGCAACAAUAUGCCAGGUACACCAAUGGGUCAGGUCUACUGGCCCUUUCCAGCCCCAGGAGUGAGUAGAGCCAGAAGGACCUAGAAUUGGAGAUUAUUCACAAGUGGCCAUAGUCCACACGAGAACAGGUGUAAGGAACUCUGAGGGUCAAGUCCACGUUGAUUCUAGUUCUCAGCCCUCAGUUCUUCAGUCUAGUCCAACAGGGGUACAAAAUGAUUACUCUCUUAUGAGUAUAGGUUCAUCUUUAGCGUCUCAACCCCAGGUGACUGCACGAGAGCAAGAGUUGAAUUUAGAAACUUCUCUAGAUCUUCAUAUAGCUCAGUCACUUGAUCAGUCAGGAAUGGGUUUAGUUUCUAGGAUAUCCUUUAGGCGUUCUACUCAUGGGACUCUCUGUGUUCACUGGGAUAGUGACCAUUAAAAGUAGGGGUGAAUUUGGCAAAGUUGGUUGGAGACGCUGUUGCGCAUGCCCACUAGAGGGUGCACUGAUUAUUUAUACACAUCACUUCCUGUCUAUAGAACCAUGUCCAGUGCUUGAAUCCUUUGCUACACUGUGAUUGUUGGUUGCUUGAAGAACAAGUUCUGUUGACAGAAAAUGUGUGUUAUAAAUGUGCCAGUAUAAACCUGGACAGGCUAUUAUUUCUGGAGUUUGGUAGUGUGUAGUCAUAAUUUGUCUGCAUCACAUUGAUUGUGUGUGGGUGUGAAGAUGAAAAAAAUAUGAACAAUACCAUCAAACCCAUAUGUGCUUGUUGAAUAUCCCAUUAUAGAUUUAGUUCCCCUUUGCUGUUAUAAUAACCUCCACUCUUCUAGGUAAUCUUUCCACUUUAUUUUGGAGCAUGGCCUUUGGGAUUUGUGCAUUUGAGCAUGCAUUUCACCUCCUGAAGAGGAGACUAAAGGGGGAAAGCCCUCAAAACAAACAACAACUGGACGAAGCUGUGGUAAAAGUCUUGAAAAGCAUCACAAAAGAAGAUUGCAACAAUUUGGUGAUGUCAGUGGAUCGCCGCUUGAUUAUUUAUUGCAAGUAAGGGAUAUGCAUCCAAAUAGAGGUUAUUUACUUUGAUUUCCUUGAAGACUAUCUGUUCCAAUAUUUUUGGUCACCUCAAAAAUGUUCUAAGUUGUUUAACACAUCUAGAUGUAUAUAUCAGGAAAUUAAAGCUUCAAUUUUGAUCUAUUGUCUCAUUUUCAUCUUUUGAACUCAAACGCAAAUGUCUUCAGUGUGUAUCAAAAACAAAAGAAUUCCAAUACUUUUGAAGAGGAGUGCAAGUAUGGCAAGGUUGACUGAAGACAGGUGGGGCUGAUGGCCACUGAUUAUGAUUAAGACUGUGCUCUCUGCCUCCGUCUAGUGAUAAAACAAGUCAGUUGUCUACUUACACCACAAUCCAUUACAAAACAACAGACUCUCAUUCCUAUUUGGUGUUCAAAUCUUCACAAGGAAAUGUGUAAUGACUUUUUACAACUAUGGAUUCACCACAAGAACAUCAUAGAUCUCCCAACAUGCUUCACGGCCUACAGAUAUGGACUACACUUCCCAGAACACACACACACACAUGCACACUGCCUCUUUCUCAAUCACCGAACUUCUGAUCAGGCACACCCAGAGACGUAUCUAAAGGGCAGGCAAGGUAGGCAAUUGCCUGGGGCCCUACAUACUGAGAGGGCCCGUGAGGGUUGAUCAUUUAAAUAAUCAGGAACUUUCAUCUUAAAAUAAUGUGCAGCAACAUCUCAGCAACCCCCUUAAAUGGGGCCUCUUUGUGGGGGGCUUCAUAUUUGAGGACUCAUUUAUGCUCCGCCACCCCUUCACACUCGAGUUGCAUGAGCUUAAUUCCUGAAAAUGAAUCUGAAAAAUUAACCUGUUAACAUUUUGCUUAUACUGGAAUCAGAAUUAAAUUCUUGGACCCAUACUACUGUUACCUUCUCAGUAGGGAUGUGCUGGCUCAAAUUUAGCCUAUUACCUGAAGACACUUAAAAAUUCAAAUCUGCAAACCCAGUUGGAGAUAGAAAAGUAAGUCACCAGCCGUGAGUGAGAAGAAGCAAGGUUCCAGAUUUAUUGGUUCCGUUCCACCACACACACGAGAUCCACACCGAUGAGAGCUGACACCUGGAGCUCAAGCUCCAGUAUUUAUACUGUAUUUACACAGUAAAUAACCAAUAUAUUUUAGAAAGACUAUACUAUCAAUACCAAUAGGGUUAAAAAAAGAGCUCAUCUACAUUACCAUGAUGUUUUGAAAGAGGCUUAUCAAAUUUACCAGUAGAACUGAAAGUGGGAGAAAGAGAAAACAAUUUUGAGAGACCUUGGUCUCACAUGGGGAGGGGGG